rnacentral:rRNA from 1 species
UACGGAGGAUGCGAGCGUUAUCCGGAUUUAUUGGGUUUAAAGGGUGCGUAGACGGAUCGUUAAGUCAGUGGUCAAAUUGAGGGGCUCAACCCCUUCCCGCCAUUGAAACUGGCGAUCUUGAGUGGAAGAGAAGUAUGCGGAAUGCGUGGUGUAGCGGUGAAAUGCAUAGAUAUCACGCAGAACCCCGAUUGCGAAGGCAGCAUGCCGGCUUCCUACUGACGCUGAAGCACGAAAGCGUGGGGAUCGAACAGG